GGCCAAUACGAAGGUGGUCUCAGCAUUUUCUGUCCCAGAACCAAAGACUAUUCUUCUACUUCGCAGAUGAAAUUCAAAUACCUGCCGUGUUCAAGACAGUCCCAUGGGGAUUAUGGGUGGAUGUCAGAACUAUACCUGGAUUAAGCUACAUGUGGAUACCCAUGGUAAUCUUGAAAGCUAGUGCCGAAGAGGGCAGAACUUCUGGCAGCCUGGGUUCCUGCAUGACUGCUUGGAACAGAAUCUUCUGCACUCUCUGCUGAUUAGACUAUGCAAGAGUCUCGCUCCGUCACCCAGGCUGGAGUGCAGGCGUGCUGUCUUGGCUCACUGCAACUUCUGCCUCCCGAGUUCAAGAGAUCCUCAUACCUCAGCCUCCUGAGUAGCCGGGACUACAGGCGUGCACCACCACACCCGGACACUACAGGGAAAUGAAUACAGAACGGCUUAAAGUAUUUUAUAAAGAGUAUACGAGCAAUCUGAUAUCGCAGAAAACCUGUCAGAAAGAAGCACCAUGGAAUAGAGGAAAGAGGCCCGGAUUCCAACCCCGGGAACUGUGACAGCCUCUGGGGUGGGGACUCUCGUGGAAAGGCUAGAUGAUGGAGUCACGUGCUCCCUUCCCGUUCACUAGCUGCUGAUUGGCCAACUGCUCCUGCCAACUGUCCC